AUUGAACGCUGGCGGCAUGCCUUACACAUGCAAGUCGAACGGUAACAGGUCUUCGGAUGCUGACGAGUGGCGAACGGGUGAGUAAUACAUCGGAACGUGCCCAGUAGUGGGGGAUAACUACUCGAAAGAGUGGCUAAUACCGCAUGAGAUCUACGGGUGAAAGCAGGGGAUCGCAAGACCUUGUGCUACUAGAGCGGCCGAUGGCAGAUUAGGUAGUUGGUGGGAUAAAAGCUUACCAAGCCGACGAUCUGUAGCUGGUCUGAGAGGACGAUCAGCCACACUGGGACUGAGACACGGCCCAGACUCCUACGGGAGGCAGCAGUGGGGAAUUUUGGACAAUGGGCGCAAGCCUGAUCCAGCAAUGCCGCGUGCAGGAUGAAGGCCUUCGGGUUGUAAACUGCUUUUGUACGGAACGAAAAGCCCUGGGUUAAUACCCUGGGGUCAUGACGGUACCGUAAGAAUAAGCACCGGCUAACUACGUGCCAGCAGCCGCGGUAACAC
rnacentral:rRNA from 1 species